UCCCGGCAGCGCCGCGAGGCUCCGCGCAGGGGCCGAGGAGUCAGGCUGAACCAGGAGAAACCUGCCCCGAAUCCCGCGCCUUCCCAGCAUUCCCUGCGCUACCCCCUUUGCAGAGGCAGGACUCAGCACUCGGCUGAGGGGGUCGGAUUCUGAAGCUGCUUCGGCAGUUCUCUUGGCCCAGCUCCUUGGUGAGGCCCCCCGGCAGCCUGGAUGGCCCCGAGCUCCAGCCCGAACGGCUCUGAGCCCCUGGGUGCUGGGGCCAGUGAGUGCCUGGGGUACCUGACUGCUCAGAACCGGUCGGCCCGGAACAGCAUGGCGGGGGCCCACGUGACCCAGCCAGACCCCCAGCACCUCCUGAUCAGCGCCCAGCAGCAGGAGCCCGCCUACGUGGCCAUCCCCGUCACCGUCUUCUACAGCCUGCUCUUCGUCUCCGGGCUCCUGGCCAACGGGCUGAGCGUGCUGACGCUGCUGCGGAGCGGGCGCAUGAGGGCAAGCGCCGUGCGCUUCUACCUGCUAAGCCUGGCCACAGCCGACGUGCUGAUGCUGCUCACCGUGCCGGUGACCCUGUACCGCUACUUCUGGCAGUACUAUCCCUGGGCGCUGAGCGACGCCGUCUGCAAACUCUACUUCAUGGCCCGCCAGCUGUGCUGCGCCACCACCAGCUGGACCAUCGUCGCCUUCACCACGGAGCGCUACGUGGCCAUCUGCCACCCCAUGUGGGCCAUCACCGGCCUGCGGCAGUCGCGCAUGGCCCACCUGCUGGCGCUCAUUUGGCUGCUGGCCCUCGUGAGCUCGGCGCCCCUCACCUUGGUCUACGGGCAGGCGUCGGCCUGCAUCCUGGACUACACCUCCACCCGCCGGGAGAAGAGUGUCUUCCUCUCCACCGUCUGCGAGAUGCUGGAGCCCGAGCCCUACGCCAUCUACAAGAGCAUCAUUGAAGCGCGCAGUGUCCUCUGCUUCCUGCUCCCGCUGGCCGCCAUCGUCACCUUCCACCUCCUCAUCUUCCGCCACCUCAGCCAGACCCGCCGGCAGCGGGAGGAGAUGGGGCUGACCCAGCCCUGCUCAGGGGGCUUCUCCGUGCAGGUCAACCAGCCGCCCGGGAGCAUGCCUCCAUCAGAGAGGAAGGCCCGGCACCUCAUGGGUGCUGUGGUGGCUGCGUUUUUCUUUUGCAACUUCCCCGACACGGCGUCAUCCCUGAUGCACAUUUACAUUCACAGCUGGAGCACCAGCGUCCUGGUGCUCUACACCUGGCUGAAGACCUACCUCUCACUGCCUCUCUGGUACCUCAACAGUGCCCUGGACCCCCUCCUCUUCUGCAUCUCCUCAGCCUCCUUCCGCACCGCCUGCCGCGAAAGUCUCCCCCCACUCCUGCCCUGGAUCAGCAAGAAACUGCAAGGCUCCUGUGUCAGGUCAGGAGGGCAAGCGCCCAGGGCUGGAAGAUCUUUGUGGACCUUAAAUUCCACCAAAGGGGAGCCAAGCAAAUCCUCCAGAGACUCUCAGCGCAGUGAGCCACAGCUCCUCUCCUGUGGGAAGAGAGCGGGCCCAUGAGCCUCACCCGGCGCAAACCCAGCCUGUGCAUAAUAGAGAAAGCCGUGCACUAUUCACAAUGUCCUGGCACAGUCAUGUGAGAGACAGCCUGGGGCACAUGCAUUCGUGCUUGCACACUUUCCCCUCCCUGUGGGUGCUAGGGGACCAAGUGGAAGCUUACUGCAGCAGGGAUUGCAGCUGGUGUAACAGCUGACUAGCUAGCAGUUCCGCUGUUCAGUUGUUGCUCUUGUGUGGAAAUCCGUUGCUGAGUUGUUUGUGGCGUGUUUGCUGUGGUGAGGCGCUUCGGUCACUAUUGUGGUGCAUGGCUCAGUCUGUGUGGCACAGUGUAGGCUUUGUACCUGCUUGAAGUCUAGUUGUGUAUUCUCUUGGUGCUGGGCGGGCUAAUAUUUGGAGGGCCUUUGCAACAGGAGAAAGGAACAGACUUUGUGGAGGGCUAGGGCUCCCUCCCUCCUUCUCCAGUUAGGGUGUCCCCCAACCUCAGUUUGAUCAGGUUUCCUUCGUUCCAAGAACGGAUGCAAGAUACGGAUACGAAUCCCAAAAUCCUUUGGGACAUGGAGUCAACUCCACAAAAUAGCACAGAAUCCCAGAGCAAACCCUGAGCUCCUUACGCUGCUACCUCCCAGUCCUUACUCAGACACAACUCCCACUGGAGCCUGGAGCCGGUAUUUCCAUGUAGGAGAGAAUGGAUCCCGAAGCCAAAACCCCGGCUACACAAUGACAAGCUGGGCCUGGAGUCUCUGGCACAGUUCCUGGAUUCUGCAUGGCUCUGAGGCAGCAGGGUCCAGGCACCGAAUUAAUGGAGCCACGCCUGCACAGCUCCACUUACUACGUGGGUGGCCCCUCAUUCCCUGGGGCGCGCACCUUAGAGGGAACUCUCCGCGGACCACCUGAAUGGAGCUCGUGGACCACAGUUUAAGAACCUCUGACUCAGGCUAAUGGGAGAAUGGGUCCCACAGUGACUUCUCCUCUUACUGCUGAUCCCCUGGUUUUACAGUCGUUAUCCUCCCCAGCCAGACUCUCCUUUCAGUUACUAAGUGAACUGGGAAUGAAGUCAGGCCAUGCUGGGCUCUGUUACACCCGUGUAAAUCUGGAAGAACUGCCUUGAGGUCAGUGGAACCGCUCUGCAGUUAUGUGGGUGUAACAGCAGGGGGUGGCCCCAGGAUAACGAAGCGGGGGGUGGGGGUUGGCUCCCCAGGAGGCCGGGGGUACGAGCA